AUUGAACGCUGGCGGCAGGCCUAACACAUGCAAGUCGAGCGGGGUUUUCGGACCUAGCGGCGGACGGGUGAGUAAUGCGUAGGAAGCUGCCCGAUAGAGGGGGAUACCAGUUGGAAACGACUGUUAAUACCGCAUAAUGUCUACGGACCAAAGUGUGGGACCUUCGGGCCACAUGCUAUCGGAUGCGCCUACGUGGGAUUAGCUAGUUGGUGAGGUAAUGGCUCACCAAGGCGACGAUCUCUAGCUGGUUUGAGAGGAUGAUCAGCCACACUGGAACUGAGACACGGUCCAGACUCCUACGGGAGGCAGCAGUAGGGAAUAUUGGACAAUGGGCGCAAGCCUGAUCCAGCCAUGCCGCGUGUGUGAAGAAGGCCUUCGGGUUGUAAAGCACUUUCAGCGAGGAGGAAGGGUGGUGUGUUAAUAGCACAUCAUUUUGACGUUACUCGCAGAAGAAGCACCGGCUAACACUGUGCCAGCAGCCGCCGUAAUAC
rnacentral:rRNA from 1 species